rnacentral:rRNA from 1 species
UGCGGUUAAAAUGCUCGUAGUUUAAUUUCUGCUGAGGGUAAUCGGUCCACCCACUGGGUGAGUAAUUGUUUGCCCUUUGCAUUUUGUGAACAAUGCAUCUGCACUUGAUUGUGCUGUGUGUCCUGCUCAUGCAAUUUACUUUGAGGAAAUUAAAGUGUUUCGAGCAUGCAUAUGCACCGAGCACAUUAGCAUGGAAUAAUUACACUGAUCGUCGCUGUAUUUGUUGGUUUUUAGGGCUUCGAUAAUGACUGAUAGGGAUAAUUGGUGGUAUUCGCAUUUAAUAGUCAGAGGUGAAAUUCUUGGAUUUGUUAAAGACGAACUGCUGCGAAAGCAUUUGCCAACUAUGUUUUCAUUGAUCAAGAACUAAAGUUAGGGGAUCGAAGACGAUCAGAUACCGUCCUAGUCCUAACAAUAAACAAUGCCGACUAGGAAUUGAAGGUUGUCAAUUGCAUGACUCCUCCAGCAUCUUAUGACAAAUCAAAGUAUUUGGGUUCCGGGGGGAGUAUGGUCGCAAGGCUGAAACUUAAAGGAAUUGACGGAAGGGCACCACCAGGAGUGGAGCCUGCGGCUUAAUUUGACUCAACACGGGGAAACUUAUCAGGUCCCGACAUAAUAAGGAUUGACUAAU